ACGCCUAACACAUGCAAGUCGAGCGAGGUAGCAAUACCUAGCGGCAGACGGGUGCGUAACAUGUGGGAAUCUGCCUUUUUGGUUCGGAACAACACGGGGGAAACCUGUGCUAAUACCGGAUAAGUCCUUACGGAGAAAGUUUUAAUGCCAAAAGAUGAGCCCGCAUUUGAUUAGCUAGUUGGUGAGGUAAAGCUCACCAAGGCGAUAAUCAAUAGCUGAUUUGAGAGGGGUGAUCAGCCACACUGGGACUGAGAUACGGCCCAGACUCC
rnacentral:rRNA from 1 species